UACAGAGGUCUCAAGCGUUGUUCGGAAUUACUGGGCGUAAAGGGUGCGCAGGCCGCGCGGGCAGUCAAAUGUGUAAUUCAGGGGCUCAACCCCUGCACUGCGCUUGAUACUUCCGCGCUCGAGCUUUGGAGAGGACGUCGUGGAAUUCUCGGUGUAGCAGUGAAAUGCGUGGAUAUCGAGAAGAACACUUAGGGCGUAGGCAAGACUCUGGGACAAAUGCUGACGCUCAUGACACGAAG
rnacentral:rRNA from 1 species